rnacentral:miRNA from 1 species
CAGACAAAAAUAGAAAUAAAAAAGAAUUAAAAGAAAUGAACCAAGUCUCCAGGAAGUAUGGGAUUAUGUAAAAUGGCCAAACCUAAGAAUCAUUGGUGUUCCUAAGGGAGAAGAGAAAGCAAAAAGUUUGGAAAACUUAUUUGAUGGAAUAAUUGAGGAACAGUUCCUU